rnacentral:lncRNA from 1 species
UGCCAAGUUUGCAUCAUUGAUUCUGUUAAAUUCCGGUUUAAAACUGUGAAGAAAUUAAGCUGUAUAAACUGCUCUAAAAUAAAUGUGAACAUGAAAAGUAAACAUGACAUGUGUAAAUGUUGGUUUUUAGGUCAAACCGCAACAGCUUCCAGUUACAUAAGAAAUGAACAUCACAGUAACAUGUGGAGAUAUUCACACCUCUGUGGGGUUUGUGUAUGUUGUUUUUUCUGCUGUCUUCAAUCAUACACUCAAUGUUGACUGUGAGCAGAGCUGGCAUUUAGAGGAUGGAGUUAUGAUAGCAGAUCCAUCAGCUCCUCACACACUGAUUGAUCCUGUUAUUUCUGUCUCAUCUGAUCGUCUCGUCACGUCUCACUGUGUGAAUCUGAAGCAUGAGAUCCGCUGUGAUUCUGCUGGAGUAAAUCAACUCAAUCUCUCUCUCAACAAUUCAUGUUUAAUUUAAAUGUAUUAUUAUAAAUGCUGCUUUAAUGCUUCUUUAUUUCAUUGCAGUCUCAUUUCAGUCAUGAGAUCAUGUUCAGAGGUGAGAGAAACUGUAAAACACAUCAGUGUGUCCUGAUUGAGAUCAAACUCAUGUUCAGAGGUGAGAGAAACUGUAAAACACAUCAGUGUGUCCUGAUUGAGAUCAAACUCUGUGUUGAAUUGAAUAUUCUGUGCUUCAAGUGAAUCAUGAUGACUGUGUUUUUCAGUGUGGAAUGAAACUGCAGUGACUCAAAACUCAGGUGAGAUUCAUCUUAAAAACUGAUAAAACACUGCAGAUCUGAUUCACACUCAAUUCAGUUUCAGUCUCAGCACUGUCUCAUAUUUGUGAUCAUUGUGUUUUUAAAGAUGAUCUGAAUGAAGUGACUCCAGAUCUCCAACGGUCAGGUAAAACAGCUUUAAACCUCUUACUAUUAUUUUUUUAUCAUUAUAGAUCAGCUGAUUUGAUGUUGUAUCACUUGUAUAGAUCAGUUGUGGUGGCUUGUGGCUCUUUUCAUCAUCAUUGUUCUGGCAUUUCUCUGUUUCUUGCUGCGUAAAAGUAUCUUCAGGUGAGACUGAUCUCAGUUCAGUCAGUAAAUCACACACUAGUUCUAAAUGAUAAGACUCUGAUGGAAAUGUUUAAUAAUAAACGUUAUUCUGUUUUCAGGUGUUUUCAGAAGGAAGCACCGAGCAUCUGUCAGCGUGAUGAAGAGAGGUGAGUGUUUCUGUAUCUCAAGUGUCAGUUACAUUCACAGAUGGAUGAUGUUUAAACCAAUGAUGAAUCUUCAUCUGCUGAAACUGAAUGUGUUUCUCUCAGGGAUCCUGAAUCUGGUGCCCAAAUGAAGCUCAGACCUGAUGAAUCUGUUUCACUGAAUCAAUCUGAAUCUGAGCAUUUGAACGACUCUGUGUCAAGAGGAUGAUCUUCAUCUUCAUCGUCAUCAGAUCAUUUUACACAUGAAUCAAACUCAGGGUCCCUCAGUCGAGGGAGUUUUGCUUCAUCCUGAGCUUCUGGAUGUGUAUUUCCAUUGCUGUGUCUCUUUUAUUAACGCAGCUGGAUCUGUUACAUCCUGGUGAUGUAUUAUGUGUAUAAAUGUGUUUGGGUAUGUAUUUUAUUCUGAGUAUUGUGCUCUCUCUCUCUCUCCACUUGCCAUGCAGUAAAUUAGUCACACCUGAUGCUUGUAAGGAGUGUGCUGCUACAGAAGAGCAGAGUGAACACUGCUUGAGGAGGUUCUCUUCUUCCUGUCUGUUUAUCUCAUGUUAAUUUUUCUAAUCAUGGGAGCUGUAGGGAGAGGAUGCCAAUUUUUCUUUGGAUAAACAUGUUCAUCCCUGUUUUUUGGUUGGUAAGGGAGUAGAGGGAAGCUUAUGUUGUUUAUUUCUUUCUUUUACCUGUGUAGGUCAUUUAGUAAGUAACUAUUUUGUUUGUUGUUUUUGGCUAAGACCCUCUCCUGAAGAUUAAUUGCUUCCACUUUCUUUAAAAACAAAUAAACAAUUUGUAUUUGCUACAAGUGGUUGUCACAUUUCUUGGACAGAGGGCCGAAGAGAAUCCUUCAUGUUUUCUAUUUGUUUCUCAUUUUUGGUUAUUUUUUCUCCUGUUAAAACUUCUCCCAGUCUAUUUUUUCUCAAAUUGUUUUACUUUUUGACUGUGGGUGGGGAUGAAAGUGUUGCAGGCCUAGGGAUAGUGGAGUUUGAUUUUACUGCGUUUACUCUAAAAAAUGACUGUGAAUUUAACGGUAAAACACUGUAAAAAUGCUACAGUAAAAACCUGUUAAAUGGUUAACAGUAAAUUCCCCUACUAUAUAUGGUAAAAAACUGUAUUGGACUUUACAUGUAAUUUUAUAGUAAAUGACUGUGAUUUUAACGGUAAAAAACUGUUCAUCACUACCUGCUUUUGGUGGUUACCAGUGUAUUACAAAGGUACAAAACAGAUUUCAGUACUUCAGUAAGUUGGUAUAUUAAUAUUAUAUCAGUUAAAUUAUGGUAUUAAACUGUACAUUUAAGGUAAAACCGUUAAACCUAAAAU